GAGGCCGGGCGGCGCCCUGACGGGCGGGGCGGCCCGGAGCUGCGGGGCCGGGUGGACAGGUGGGCGUGGGCUGCGCGGCCGGCGGAACUGGCCGGCCAUCCCGCCGCGGCCCUGACGCCUGGGCUGCGCUGGCUGCUGGGGUCAAACCCCAGCUGACCUUUCUCCAGAGGAAAGAUAAAUUAUUAUGGUUGUGUGUGAGCGGCAGUGCAAAUGUUUUCUGAGCCCUCCUCUGGCUCGGGGUGCUCUUGGAUCCCCCGCAUUCCUCAGCCCCGGCAGGGAGCGGCGGCGCCCUUUGUGUCUCCGGGGAGCGCACGCCACCUCGGGGGAAACAGAGAACCCAGAACCCGAGUUAAAACCGGGAGAGACACUAGCGUGAGCUUUGUUGAUUUUUUUUUUUUUUUUUUAAUCUUUUAAAGCGUCCCGGGGAACCUAGAAACCCAAAAAUUAUCUUGAACAGCAAAUGCGCUGGGUUUUAGAGACGUUUGUUUCUUUGUCUAUUUCAUUCCGUCUUCCCUGCCAAAAAUAUCUCAUCUCUUCGCUGGAGAACACAUCCGGAAAAAGCUGUUACUACCACCACCACCCCACCCCACCCCCGCUUAAUCCAGGAAAGAAGAGCAUCUGUCCUCCAGGCUGGGCUUUGUCUUCCUUUGCUGUGCAACUGCACUAGAGCAGCAAGGCUACAUAAGGAGGCUGUUCAGCAGAAGAGCCUGGUGUUGAACUCGUGCCAUGGAGAAUGAAUUCUUCUAUAGACCUCUUGUCCUCUUCUGGAAGUUAAAGGGGGCGAUCUGAAAAAAAAAAAGCAUAUGUGUAUGAAUA